rnacentral:rRNA from 1 species
GAUGAACGCUGACAGAGUGCUUAACACAUGCAAGUCUACCAAGAAUCACUUCGGUGAGGAAUGGUGGCGGACGGGUGAGUAACGCGUAAAUAAUCUGCCCUUUAGACUGGGAUAUCCUUUGGAAACGAAGGUUAAUACCGGAUAUUAUGAGAUGGACGCAUGUUCAACUUAUGAAAGCUAAAUGCACUAGAGGAGGAGUAUGCGUCCCAUUAGCUAGUUGGUGAGGUAAAGGCUCACCAAGGCCACGAUGGGUAGCCGGCCUGAGGGGGUGAACGGCCACAAGGGAACUGAGACACGGUCCUUACUCCUACGGGAGGCAGCAGUGGGGAAUAUUGGACAAUGGACCAAAAGUCUGAUCCAGCAAUUCUGUGUGCACGAUGAAGGUCUUCGGAUUGUAAAGUGCUUUCAGUAGGGAAGAAAAAAAUGACGGUACCUACAGAAGAAGCGACGGCUAAAUAUGUGCCAGCAGCCGCCGUAAUAC